ACGCUCGACACCUACGGGGCAGCAGUGGGGAAUAUUGCACAAUGGGGGAAACCCUGAUGCAGCGACGCCGCGUGGAGGAAGAAGGUCUUCGGAUUGUAAACUCCUGUUGUUGGGGAAAAAGAGGAUGGUACCCAACAAGGAAGUGACGGCUAACUACGUGCCUGCAGCCGCGGUAAUCUGAGCGGGCUGGCAAGGC
rnacentral:rRNA from 1 species